rnacentral:rRNA from 1 species
GGAUGAGCCCGCGGCCUAUCAGCUUGUUGGUGAGGUAACGGCUCACCAAGGCGACGACGGGUAGCCGGCCUGAGAGGGCGACCGGUCACACUGGGACUGAGACACGGCCCAGACUCCUACGGGAGGCAGCAGUGGGGAAUAUUGCACAAUGGGCGAAAGCCUGAUGCAGCGACGCCGCGUGAGGGAUGACGGCCUUCGGGUUGUAAACCUCUUUCAGCAGGGAAGAAGCGAGAGUGACGGUACCUGCAGAAGAAGCGCCGGCUAACUACGUGCCAGCAGCCGCGGUAAUACGUAGGGCGCAAGCGUUGUCCGGAAUUAUUGGGCGUAAAGAGCUCGUAGGCGGCUUGUCACGUCGGUUGUGAAAGCCCGGGGCUUAACCCCGGGUCUGCAGUCGAUACGGGCAGGCUAGAGUUCGGUAGGGGAGAUCGGAAUUCCUGGUGUAGCGGUGAAAUGCGCAGAUAUCAGGAGGAACACCGGUGGCGAAGGCGGAUCUCUGGGCCGAUACUGACGCUGAGGAGCGAAAGCGUGGGGAGCGAACAGGAUUAGAUACCCUGGUAGUCCACGCCGUAAACGGUGGGCACUAGGUGUGGGCAACAUUCCACGUUGUCCGUGCCGCAGCUAACGCAUUAAGUGCCCCGC